rnacentral:rRNA from 1 species
UACGUAGGGUGCAGGCGUUAAUCGGAAUUACUGGGCGUAAAGCGUGCGCAGGCGGUCUUUUAAGUCAGAUGUGAAAUCCCCGGGCUUAACCUGGGAACUGCAUUUGUGACUGCAUGGCUGGAGUGCGGCAGAGGGGGAUGGAAUUCCGCGUGUAGCAGUGAAAUGCGUAGAUAUGCGGAGGAACACCGAUGGCGAAGGCAAUCCCCUGGGCCUGCACUGACGCUCAUGCACGAAAGCGUGGGGAGCGAACGGG